GGACUACUAGGGUAUCUAAUCCUGUUUGCUCCCCACGCUUUCGAGCCUCAGUGUCAGUAACAGACCAGAAUGUCGCCUUCGCCACUGGUGUUCUUCCAUAUAUCUACGCAUUCCACCGCUACACAUGGAGUUCCACAUUCCUCUUCUGUACUCAAGUUUCCCAGUUUCCAAUGACCCUCCACGGUUAAGCCGUGGGCUUUCACAUCAGACUUAAGAAACCACCUGCGCUCCCUUUACGCCCAAUAAAUCCGGACAACGCUUGCCACCUACGUAUUACCGCGGCGGCUGACAC
rnacentral:misc_RNA from 1 species